rnacentral:tRNA from 1 species
GGGCGGUUAGCUCAGUGGUAGAGUAUCGGUCUUACAAACCGGGGGUCACUGGUUCGAACCCAGUACCGCCCACCA